AGUGAACGCUGGCGGUAGGCCUAACACAUGCAAGUCGAACGGCAGCACAGUAAGAGCUUGCUCUUACGGGUGGCGAGUGGCGGACGGGAGAGGAAUACAUCGGAAUCUACUUUUUCGUGGGGGAUAACGUAGGGAAACUUACGCUAAUACCGCAUACGACCUACGGGUGAAAGCAGGGGAUCUUCGGACCUUGCGCGAUUGAAUGAGCCGAUGUCGGAUUAGCUAGUUGGCAGGGUAAAGGCCCACCAAGGCGACGAUCCGUAGCUGGUCUGAGAGGAUGGUCAGCCACACUGGAACUGAGACACGGUCCAGACUCCUACGGGAGGCAGCAGUGGGGAAUAUUGGACAAUGAGCGGAAGCCUGAUCCAGCCAUACCGCGUGGGUGAAGAAGGCCUUCGGGUUGUAAAGCCCUUUUGUUGGGAAAGAAAAGCAGCAGGUUAAUACCCCGCUGUUCUGACGGUACCCAGAGAAUAAGCACCGGCUAACUUCGUG
rnacentral:rRNA from 1 species